rnacentral:lncRNA from 1 species
AUAAACAACUGUGAGAAGUUCAUCUCGUUACUUGGCAACGAUACUCCGCAGCAGAAGUCAGCAAACGACAACCCAGUUAUGUCCCCUUCUUUGGACUUUUCCUGCGUCUUGAUUGGAUGGCCUCCGAAGGAAAAGUCAAACAAGCACGAAAAUCGAUUGAUGGAGCAAAUCUGGCCUAAUCAAAUCAUCGACUUACCCAUUUGAUCUGCCUUCUUGCAAUCCCGCUGCAUCCCAAAAUCAGUAGGAAAAUACCAAAAAAAAUAUGGUAAAUCCGAAAAUUAACUAAAAAAGAAACAGCGCCCGUCCCAGUGUACAUAGACCUGGCAUCAUCACCAUUGGAGAAGCAUUAUGGGUAUGGUAUCCACGUGACCUCCUUUGGACCAUCCGGGCAUCUGAACAUAAUGUCAUCACCAUUGUCAUUAAUACUGUGUGAUUUCAGGCGCUCCUUGUGGACCUUGAACAUAGUUGACCAGUGACUUUUUACUGGCCAAUGUCAGACUGAACUGACCAGUGUUUCAUGUAUAUGUACGGCCAUUGUGUAAUUUGGAAUUUUGGACGUUAUUAUAGAGGAGGAGAGAAACUGUGUAUUUUAAUGUGUUAAGACAUUAGAAACCUACACACAAUUUGUUAUGAAGAGUGGUGAAUAUUCGUGGAGGUGAUUAACUGAAAUAUGGACAAAGUCAAGCAUAGAGAAGGUGUUUUAACUGAAAUUAAUGUUGCAAUGAAUUAUAUGUUAUAAAAUGUGUCUAUAAAGGAGAUAACAUUACUUUUGCAAACAUGUUCAUUAAACUGUUUUAGUUAGUAUUUGUGUCUAAAGUUUGUGCAUGAUUUAUAACUGUCUAUAUGCAAUAUUAAAUGCUGAUUUUGUACAGUUCAUAUUUUAUGUGCAACUUACUUUUUCUGUGCUUACAAGUUCUCUUGAAAAUGUAAAAAAAAAAUUAAAAGUUUUGUAUAGAUUAAAAAAUUGUAUAAAAAGUUAAAGAAAAAAAAAUAAACAUAAAUAUGUACAAAUAAA